rnacentral:rRNA from 1 species
UACGUAGGCGGAAAAUUAAGUCAGUAGUGAAAUCCUGCAGCUUAACUGUAGAACUGUUAUUGAUACUGGUUUUCUUGAAUAUAGUUGAGGUAGGCGGAAUGUGUAAUGUAGCGGUGAAAUGCUUAGAUAUUACACAGAACACCAAUUGCGAAGGCAGCUUACUAAGCUAUGAUUGACGCUGAGGUACGAAAGCGUGGGGAGCGAACAGGAUUAGAUACCCUGGUAGUC